CACUCGGUUGUUAAACGAUCGUUUACAACCGGUAGCGAUGGAUCCCUUGGCACGUCAUUCGAUGAAGACCGUUGCAAAUUGCGAUAAAGUGAUGUGAUGCGCAAGUCCACCACUUAUACGUGAAUCAUCGAGUUGUUGAACGCACUGCACCGCGCCCUA
rnacentral:rRNA from 1 species